UCAAAGCGGUAGUAUAAAAAGCUACCUCAAAAGAAAACCAAGCUGUCCAGCCAGCUAAAAGAAUUAAAAUUGGAAUUCCAUCCAAGAUCCUCUUAAUUUAACUGCUGAUGGUUUGAGAAGUUCGAACUACCUGUAAUCGUAAGGAAAAGAAAACUCUGUCGUGUCUCCAUGUUAAAAUGAGUGGAAAUUGAACUUAGGGCGAUUUAGCAUGUGAUUACUUUUUUUAGACAGGAUUUUCUUCUUAGCUGAAUUGGAUUGUGUCUUUUUUCUCCCAAACCAGAUGUAAAAUUUAUGACACUGGAAGAGGAUGCAAACAGGACUGUAAUCCUACAAAACGGCUGAGUAACUUGGCCGAAUGGAAAGGUCUGAAGCUGAUGGCAUACUGCAUAGUAGGGAAACAGGAUGUGAUGGUGUACAAUCACUGAUUCC
rnacentral:lncRNA from 1 species